rnacentral:rRNA from 1 species
GACGAACGUUGGCGGCGUGCUUAACACAUGCAAGUCGAACGGAAAGGCCCUGCUUUUGUGGGGUGCUCGAGUGGCGAACGGGUGAGUAACACGUGAGUAACCUGCCCUUGACUUUGGGAUAACUUCAGGAAACUGGGGCUAAUACCGGAUAGGAGCUCCUGCUGCAUGGUGGGGGUUGGAAAGUUUCGGCGGUUGGGGAUGGACUCGCGGCUUAUCAGCUUGUUGGUGGGGUAGUGGCUUACCAAGGCUUUGACGGGUAGCCGGCCUGAGAGGGUGACCGGCCACAUUGGGACUGAGAUACGGCCCAGACUCCUACGGGAGGCAGCAGUGGGGAAUAUUGCACAAUGGGCGGAAGCCUGAUGCAGCAACGCCGCGUGCGGGAUGACGGCCUUCGGGUUGUAAACCGCUUUCGCCUGUGACGAAGCGUGAGUGACGGUAAUGGGUAAAGAAGCACCGGCUAACUACGUGCCAGCAGCCGCGGUGAUACGUAGGGUGCGAGCGUUGUCCGGAUUUAUUGGGCGUAAAGGGCUCGUAGGUGGUUGAUCGCGUCGGAAGUGUAGUCUUGGGGCUUAACCCUGAGCGUGCUUUCGAUACGGGUUGACUUGAGGAAGGUAGGGGAGAAUGGAAUUCCUGGUGGAGCGGUGGAAUGCGCAGAUAUCAGGAGGAACACCAGUGGCGAAGGCGGUUCUCUGGGCCUUUCCUGACGCUGAGGAGCGAAAGCGUGGGGAGCGAACUGGCUUAGAUACCCUGGUAGUCCACGCUGUAAACGGUGGGUACUAGGUGUGGGGUCCAUUCCACGGGUUCCGUGCCGUAGCUAACGCUUUAAGUACCCCGCCUGGGGAGUACGGCCGCAAGGCUAAAACUCAAAGGAAUUGACGGGGCCCCGCACAAGCGGCGGAGCAUGCGGAUUAAUUCGAUGCAACGCGUAGAACCUUACCUGGGUUUGACAUGGAUCGGGAGUGCUCAGAGAUGGGUGUGCCUCUUUUGGGGUCGGUUCACAGGUGGUGCAUGCCUGUCGUCAGCUCGUGUCGUGAGAUGUUGGGUUAAGUCCCGCAACUAGCGCAACCCUUGUUCACUGUUGCCAGCACGUUAUGGUGGGGACUCAGUGGAGACCGCCGGGGUCAACUCGGAGGAAGGUGGGGAUGACGUCAAGUCCUCAUGCCCCUUAUGUCCAGGGCUUCACGCAUGCUACAAUGGCUGGUACAGAGAGUGGCGAGCCUGUGAGGGUGAGCGAAUCUCGGAAAGCCGGUCUCAGUUCGGAUUGGGGUCUGCAACUCGACCUCAUGAAGUCGGAGUCGCUAGUAAUCGCAGAUCAGCAACGCUGCGGUGAAUACGUUCCCGGG